GGAUGAGAGAUACACCCCGCCCCCGGGAGACCGUGGGCGGAAUCCAGGCCGGGGCCUCCCCAGCUUCGACCUGGUCGUGCCCUCGCGCACACAACCGGAGCCUCCGGCUUCGAAUCUCCACCGAUCGGA
rnacentral:ncRNA from 1 species